ACAGAUUCAGACUUUUUGCACACCAGAAAUCCAUUUCUGUGGUUUAUUUUCCCUCUUUGAGACAAAGAUAAAGUUACAUCCUGGAUGUUGCAGGGUAGGCUGUAAGGUUAUGGUAAUCAAUGAUCCACUCUCUGUGUGGAUGGGCGUUGCCAUCCAUGUGUAAAAUGCUAGUGUUGCAUAUGUUCCUAGUGCCUUUAAUUUCCACCUGCCUUUCAGACUGAAUGGCACUGAGUUACUGUUACUGUUCAAAACAUGCUUUGAUCCUCUGGGAUCAGCAGGGUUUUCAAGGUCCAGUACCAUGCACAGUGAAUGAUGUGAUAAAUGCUGAAGCUGUUCCCUAAGUGAAAUGAAGACUACAAAAAUUGUACCAGUGCUGAUGAAGAUGCGUUUUACUACAUUGGAAGAUGUGAAGUGGAGGGAAGUCUAUGCCUUGAAUUGGUCUUGAGUGACUGCUUUCUGUUUGUGACUGAUCUUAACUGCAGUUAGUGAGAGAUCAUGCUUAUGCAGUUCAGGAAAUCUGAUGGAAUUGGUUGGUGAGGGGGAUGGAGGAUGGAUAUUAUUGUUAGAAAAUUGGCUGUACUCCCUCCUUCACAGGGCAAUGGAGAGAGGCUGCAGAAAGCCUUUGUGUUUCUUGAAGGUGUAGUGUCUAAAAAAAGGAUCUUCAGAGCCACAGCCUUUACAGCAGCAGAUGGGAAGCUGUAUCUGGGGAGUAGUGCACUGCUCCAAGUCUCAUUGUUCACAUCCCUCAGGGUGAAGGAAUUAUUCAGAUGGGUUCAAAUUUCUUGCUGGCACAAUGAAUAUAUAAUGUCCCAGAUUAUUAUUUUUUAAACUAUUUAAAUUGAUGGAAAAAUAAAGCAUGC
rnacentral:lncRNA from 1 species